rnacentral:rRNA from 1 species
UGGAGAGUUUGAUCCUGGCUCAGAUUGAACGCUGGCGGCAGGCCUAACACAUGCAAGUCGAGCGGUAGCACAGAGAGCUUGCUCUCGGGUGACGAGCGGCGGACGGGUGAGUAAUGUCUGGGAAACUGCCUGAUGGAGGGGGAUAACUACUGGAAACGGUAGCUAAUACCGCAUAACGUCGCAAGACCAAAGAGGGGGACCUUCGGGCCUCUUGCCAUCAGAUGUGCCCAGAUGGGAUUAGCUAGUAGGUGGGGUAAUGGCUCACCUAGGCGACGAUCCCUAGCUGGUCUGAGAGGAUGACCAGCCACACUGGAACUGAGACACGGUCCAGACUCCUACGGGAGGCAGCAGUGGGGAAUAUUGCACAAUGGGCGCAAGCCUGAUGCAGCCAUGCCGCGUGUAUGAAGAAGGCCUUCGGGUUGUAAAGUACUUUCAGCGAGGAGGAAGGCAUUGUGGUUAAUAACCACAGUGAUUGACGUUACUCGCAGAAGAAGCACCGGCUAACUCCGUGCCAGCAGCCGCGGUA